CCUACGGGAGGCAGCAGUGAGGAAUAUUGGUCAAUGGACGAGAGUCUGAACCAGCCAAGUAGCGUGAAGGAUGACUGCCCUAUGGGUUGUAAACUUCUUUUAUACAGGAAUAAAACGAGGCACGUGUGCCUUUUUGCAUGUACUUUAUGAAUAAGGAUCGGCUAACUCCGUGCCAGCAGCCGCGGUAAUACGGAGGAUCCGAGCGUUAUCCGGAUUUAUUGGGUUUAAAGGGAGCGUAGACGGGUUGUUAAGUUAGUUGUGAAAGUUUGCGGCUCAACCGUCAAAUUGCAAUUGAUACUGGUAGUCUUGAGUACAGGUGAGGUAGGCGGAAAUCGUGGUGUAGCGGUGAAAUGGUUAGA
rnacentral:rRNA from 1 species